AGAGCGAACGCUGGCGGCAGGCCUAACACAUGCAAGUCGAACGGCUCUUCGGAGCAGUGGCGGACGGGUGAGUAACACGUGGGAACGUGCCUUUUGGUUCGGAACAACACAGGGAAACUUGUGCUAAUACCGGAUGAGCCCUACGGGGGAAAGAUUUAUCGCCGAAAGAGCGGCCCGCGUUAGAUUAGCUAGUUGGUGGGGUAAAGGCCCACCAAGGCUACGAUCUAUAGCUGGUCUGAGAGGAUGAUCAGCCACACUGGGACUGAGACACGGCCCAGACUCCUACGGGAGGCAGCAGUGGGGAAUCUUGCGCAAUGGGCGAAAGCCUGACGCAGCCAUGCCGCGUGAAUGAUGAAGGUCUUAGGAUUGUAAAAUUCUUUUAGCAGGGACGAUAAUGACGGUACCUGCAGAAAAGCCCGGCUAACUUCGCGCCAGCAGCCGC
rnacentral:rRNA from 1 species